rnacentral:lncRNA from 1 species
GCCUGUGCGACAGAGUGAGACUCCGUCUCAAGAAAAGAAAAGAAAAAGGAAACUGCAACGAUGAACAGAUCAGAAUAGGCGACAUGCACUGAACAAGGUAAAAAAGACAGAAAAUUAUCUGGAGAGGUGGCCGGAGGACACAUCAAGAAGCGCCUUGUACAUUGAAUCAGGCAACAUCUCAUCCUAUAAAAUAAAAUGGGUUUUCCGAUGAGCUGAGAAGACGAGCCUGGCUUUAUAGGCAGAAAAGGGCUGAAGAAAACAGAAACAGAGAACAAAAAGCAGAUGCUUUGUUUCAAGGUUAGUACCCUGAUAGUGUUAAAGCAGAAGGGACUUCCUGGUCAUACCAUCUUAAGGAUCCGGUUUUGUUCAGGUGUUCACACGAAUCAUGAGAUUCACAGGAAUGGGAAGCCGAACUCAUUCCCAGCUCCAGAAGUGGAUGCUGAUAUUUUAAACCAAUCACCAGAUGCCAUUCCUUUGAUGAUGAUGAUUAAUUUGUCCAGGGGCAGGUAUGAGACCCAACUUGAACUGGUCAGACAGAAGGGAAGGACAUAAUUCCAAAUGGACACCUGUUCUCUCUCCUACCAGUGAGGAAAAGGAAACGAGAUGUCCAGCUGUUGGCCCCAGUCAUAAGAGGAAGCUGAUGCUGCGGAUGAAGAGUGGAGCAAUGGAAAUAAUCUGGGGUCCAGUAACAUUGCUAAACUACUGAUUCAACUAGCCUUUCUUUUUUUCUUUUCUUUUUCUUUCUUUUCUUUUUUCUUUCUUUUUUUUUUUUUUUAAG